CCAAGGGUUCCUGCUUAAAGCUAAUCUGAGCAGGGUAAGCCGGCCCCUAAGCCGAGGGCGAAAGCCGUAGGCGAUGGGAACUAGGUUAAUAUUCCUAGGCCAGGAGGAUGUGACGGAUUGUGAAGGUAGUUCAUCCUUAUCGGAUUGAAUGGGCUGCUGAUCAGUUCCUGGAAAUAGCCCUCCAUGAGACCGUACCCUAAACCAACACAGGUGGACUGGUAGAGAAUACCAAGGCGCUUGAGAGAACUAUCUUGAAGGAACUCGGCAAAAUACCUCCGUAAGUUC
rnacentral:rRNA from 13 species